rnacentral:rRNA from 1 species
AUUGAACGCUGGCGGCAGGCCUAACACAUGCAAGUCGAGCGGAUGAAGGGAGCUUGCUCCUGGAUUCAGCGGCGGACGGGUGAGUAAUGCCUAGGAAUCUGCCUGGUAGUGGGGGAUAACGUCCGGAAACGGGCGCUAAUACCGCAUACGUCCGGAGGGAGAAAGUGGGGGAUCUUCGGACCUCACGCUAUCAGAUGAGCCUAGGUCGGAUUAGCUAGUUGGUGGGGUAAAGGCCUACCAAGGCGACGAUCCGUAACUGGUCUGAGAGGAUGAUCAGUCACACUGGAACUGAGACACGGUCCAGACUCCUACGGGAGGCAGCAGUGGGGAAUAUUGGACAAUGGGCGGAAGCCUGAUCCAGCCAUGCCGCGUGUGUGAAGAAGGUCUUCGGAUUGUAAAGCACUUUAAGUUGGGAGGAAGGGCAGUAAGUUAAUACCUUGCUGUUUUGACGUUACCAACAGAAUAAGCACCGGCUAACUUCGUG